rnacentral:lncRNA from 1 species
AACAGCUCUACUAGAGUUGUCUAGCAUGUUCUGUGAGAUGAGGCCAUCACCAUGUGACCAACAAGAAGUAAAGUGAGAUUGUGCAUCAGGGAUAGAAAACAGUGCUGACACAUACUCCACAGUCUAGCAUCCUCUAUUCCUCUGAGAAGAUUCUAUUUAGGAGGCUAAAAACAGGCUCUAUUCCUAAUUUUUGUCAGUUUUAAGUAUUAGCAGGUAUAUGAAUGCCUGCUGUAAGCAAGCUCAUGUUAUUUAAAACCACCAAAAGGGAUCUUUAAAAAUAAACAAGACAGUGACAUUUGGUUUACUUACUAUGACAGUUCCACUUGACAAAAAUAAAGAGUAUAUUUAAGCUCUUGUGUUUCCUUAUCUAAAAUGUAGCACUGUGAAUGUAGAAACCAAGUCUAUAAAUAGUAAGGGAAUAGUUAGAAAGUGUUUAAAGGAGAAUUACUAAAAAUAUUGCCAUGAAGCUGGAAAGGGCUGGGAAAAUACUGUACAUAUCCAGAAUAAUAAUUCUCUUCUCUCCUUUGCAGUGGUUUCUUAAAUUUCCUUUAAGAAAAUGGAACUGGAAUAUAG